CGGCACGGGUGGGUAACACGUAUCCAACCUGCCGUCUACUCUUGGCCAGCCUUCUGAAAGGAAGAUUAAUCCAGGAUGGCAUCAUGAGUUCACAUGUCCGCAUGAUUAAAGGUAUUUUCCGGUAGACGAUGGGGAUGCGUUCCAUUAGAUAGUAGGCGGGGUAACGGCCCACCUAGUCUACGAUGGAUAGGGGUUCUGAGAGGAAGGUCCCCCACAUUGGAACUGAGACACGGUCCAA
rnacentral:rRNA from 1 species